rnacentral:rRNA from 1 species
GACGAACGCUGGCGGCGUGCUUAACACAUGCAAGUCGAACGGUAAGGCCUUUCGGGGUACCCGAGUGGCGAACGGGUGAGUAACACGUGGGUGAUCUGCCCUGCACUUCGGGAUAAGCCCGGGAAACUGGGUCUAAUACCGGAUAGGACUGCGCGGUGCAUGCCGUGUGGUGGAAAGAUUUAUCGGUGCAGGAUGGGCCCGCGGCCUAUCAGCUUGUUGGUGGGGUAAUGGCCUACCAAGGCGACGACGGGUAGCCGGCCUUAGAGGGCGACCGGCCACACGGGGACUGAGACACGGCCCAGACUCCUACGGGAGGCAGCAGUGGGGAAUAUUGCACAAUGGGCGCAAGCCUGAUGCAGCGACGCCGCGUGAGGGAUGACGGCCUUCGGGUUGUAAACCUCUUUCAGCAGGGACGAAGCGUGAGUGACGGUACCUGCAGAAGAAGCACCGGCCAACUACGUG